rnacentral:misc_RNA from 1 species
UCAAAUUCACAUAUAUAUGUUCUUAGCAGCUCAAAUCAACGCCUCCAAUUACUUCUUCUUCAAGCACCAUCGUCUUAUUGUUCAUCCGCAGACAAUAAGGUAUACUCCUUUCCCUUUUGAUUCUUCUUUCAUUUCUCCUAAUUUUUCUUUAAUUUUUGGGAUUAAUUUAGACAAUGCUUGAGAAAGAAUUUUUCACCGAGUAUGGAGAGGCG